rnacentral:lncRNA from 1 species
GUGUUUGGGGAGAGAGAUAUGAACAUUUUUCAUAUGAAAACCUGCAGCUUGCCAGUGUGUUUUUGUUGUUGCAUAAAAUCUAUCUGGUGACAGAGCAGUGAAAGAACUUGUGUCAAGGACUUCUGAGUUACUCUGUUGUCUUUUCCCAUGUACAAAUUUUGAAGCUAAAAAUUAGUAUUGACUAACUAAUGUGGUAAUUUCUUUCCUUGAUGGAUGUGCAGCUUGGGUUGAUAUCCAUCAGUUUUUUCUGUUUUACUGCAUUUCUCUCUAGUUCCAGGUUGCUCACUCCAAGGGAAUGUGUCCCUUUCAGGGACAUUUGCCGCAUAGGCAAUAUUAUUCAGCCUAAUAUCUCACCUAUUUGGCAUGAGAACAUCUUGUGUGAAGAAAAUGUCAAGUGCCCUGGUGAACUCUGAACCUACCUGAUAUUUUUUAGCCUGCUCCAUUGGAGAAUAAAAUCUCAGGAGAUAAUUCUUAGAAGAUAACUCACAAGAAAAGUCUUGCAAACCCAAGUAGAAGAGGAUUAGAUUCCACUUAUUUGUCUGAGAAAUAACUAAAUAUUUAGAAGCAAGAACUAUGAAGUUGGCUGUGUGGCUACUGUGAAGGCUGAGAGAUGGCAUGAGGUAGUAGUCAAAAUGCUCAGAAUUCCUGGACUGCAGACCUAGUUCUGAUGCCAGGUCAGCCUGCUGUAGGUGUGAAAGUAAAGGCUAAUGUUUGUAAUAUGCCACAGGGUCUUUACAAAGCUUAUUGUCAAAAGUUUUUGAUAUCCAUGUAUUGGAAAUGGCAUGUGAAUAGACAGUAUUAUCAUUCAUGUUUAUGACAGGGAGAGACCUUUGUGUUGUAGACAUUUUAGAGCCAUCUAAGUUCUGACCAUAUAUGACAAAAUUAUAAAAAAAUAUAGACAUCAGAGGACUGAGAGGACUGUACACAGGUAUUCUACAUGAUUCUUUCAAGCUAGAUACCAAGAUCUUAAAACUAAUAUUGACGUUUAAAAGUGGUUCAGAACAAAUAAUACAUUUGCAUAUAUACUCUUCUUUCUUAGCCUACAGAAAUUGAAAAGUUUUCGUUAAAUCAUGCUCUUCAGGACCUUCUUCAGCAAAUAUUUCUUGGUGAAUCUGGCCUCUUUUUCACCUUUCCUCCAUUUCAUUGAGCCCAUCCAAAUUUACAUUAUCUGGGAAAUAUGCUAUUUGAAAUGUGCAUCUUUUCAAGACUGGAAUAUUCCUCUAAUAAAUACCAUUUGCUAGAACAUCUGCAAAUGCAAAAAGGCUGCAAAAAUAGCCAAAUCACACGGUACUCCUAUGAAAACUACAGGAAUUGGAUGAUACAGUGGUAAAAACAUAAUUCUUAUCUACAGCUCUUGCUAGUACUGUUUUUGUGAAGCUGUAAUGAUGAUGAAUGAUGACCUUGAAAUCUCUUUUCAUCCCAUUGCUGUAGAAGAGGUAAAGUAGGUUAACGUUUCUGUCUGUAGUAUUAUAUUUUAAUGUGAAUUAAACACCUUUUUUUUAUGCCUAUGCUGGAUUUUCUGUUAUGCAAACACCCUUGUAGCUCCUGACAAGAUGUGCAAUAGGAACUUCAAUAUAGCUUUUACAUUGAAGUAUUAUUUUGAUCUUCCAGAUAUGUGCUCAUACACUAUUGCCACAUGUACAUGUUUUCUUUUUUGCCAAUGGUAGUCAGAUUGUUGAGUAUAUUACCAAAAGAUUUCUACUUGAAAUCUACUGUGUCAGUGGGGCUCCAACACAUCCCACAGACCAUCUCUGAAGUCAUGCAAAGUUUCAGAAUUUGAGAAAAUAAGUUAAUACAUUGUGUUCUUUUCUAUUUCUGUUUAUCUUCAAACUUGGUCCUGUCUACCUACCAUUCAUUCUUUCAAGAACUUCUGUGCAUUCACAAGCUGGAUUUUUGUGGUUAAACACUGAGGUCUCACAAGGUGAAUUUAAGGACUGAGUUUUGUUGGAGUUGUGUCUUAGCUGUGGCUGUGAAAUUGGAAGGAACAGUAGUAAGCUCUUUGAGGACAAUUCCUUGUGGCACCAUUUUGAAGGUCAGUUGGAGACUUGCAUUGCAGCUCACCUUGAAGCAGUACAGACAGCCCUUGGCUUGCAGUUGUUCUAAAUGCAAAAAGACCUAGUCAUUUAAUGAGGGCAAAUCUAUAAAAUGCCCCAGCAUUAUGUACCCAUGCCCAUUUCACACAAUUUAGGGAUUAGGCAAAGUGCCUUCCCAGAGGCAGCAUUACCCAUCCCCAAGCAGGGAUUUGUCUCCAGUAGGUUCAGGGAAAGGAAGGUACUUGUAUCUCUGGGCAGCAUGUAUAUACUAGAGCCUCAAAAUUUAUUAGCCAGCAGUAUUUCUGAGGUCUCUGCCUCAUGUCCACUGUCUUAUGGGAUAAAGGCUGGCUGAACUUUUUCAUGGGGAGAGCUCUUUUAUAUACUGAGAGAAGAACUUAAGGUGAGAGUUUAAUAUCUAAGAUUUGCCUCUGGAUUCUCAUGUAGAUAUGUGUAUUAGCAAUAUUAAACUUUCUGAACACUCUAACAGUGUAGUUGUUCAUGGAGAUAUGGUUUGAGCCUGUUUCUGUGAGAUGAUUUGGAUGCUGUCUGCUGAUGCUAUGAUGUAUGUACCUUACCUGAGCUUGCCAUGUCAUUGUUAUGCCCUGACAGGAUGUGGGAGCAACCUUCCUCCCUUGCUUGGCAGGAUGACUCCUCCAAGAGCCUUGUGCAUGGAAUAUGACUGUGAAGGGCAGUCUGCUGCAUUAGACUUCCUUACCUUGUGCAUGCUUUUUGCUUCUUCCUUCUGAAAUGUUUAACUGAAUUCUGAUGACAGCUAAACAUUUGAAAAAAAUAAGUCUGUAAGGCAGGUAAUGGAUAAUAUGCAGAAAUCCUGCAUCAGAAACCCAAAUCCCUUGGGUUUCAGUGAAACAUUUGGGGAGUGAGGGUGGGUGUAUUUUUUUUUUUUCUUAAUCCAGUAAGAUAAUUUGGCCUGAUUGCUUGAUAAUGGAGUUUGUUCACUCAGUUUUUUGAUCCUGUAGUGCAGCUGCUGCUCUAUUUUCUACAUGGCUGGGCUUUACUGCAGACCUGUCGAGCCAUAGCUGACUUUGAUUUUUCUUUUCUGUGUGGUUUUUGUUUUGUUUUGUUUUUUUUUUUUUUCAAAUGAGAAGAGAUUGCCAUAAGCCAGAGUUAUGGCAAUGCAGCCCAAAUAUAUAAUUAUCAGGGCAGGAAGGUGCCUUGGGCAUCCCAGCCUGUCUGCAGUUGGCAUCACUUAAUUAGCUUAGCCUUGCCUUUUUGAAUAUUUCUCACAAGAAACUCAAGUAGUUUCUUUUGUGAUGAGUUUGUAUGAUCUCUGUUGUUUGUUUACUUAUUUGAGCUUUUGGUAAUUGUUUGUAUUUUGUUUUGUUUUGUAUAUUUCUUUAAGUGGAGGGAAAUGAGCAAAAUGAAGAGUUCAUUUAAGAAAAAUAUUUUUGUCAACUUCAAUGUGCUUGUGACAAGGCGGGAGCCCCUAAUCUCUCCUUAAUAUCUAGGAGUACUUUAUGGUUGUCAUAUAAAUUUUAAGAAUCAUAUAAUGAUCCUUAAUUCAUUCCUAUGGUGUAAUCUUGGGCAAAGCAUCCCAAAAUUUAGCAGGAAUCCUACAUCUCCAUCCUCCUUAGCACUCUUUUUGUAGCAUGGCACUACAGCUCUGUGCUAUGCCCAGAGAGCCCGUAACAGGUUGGGAGGAAGGACAAGAGAGACUAUAGCGUAUGCAUGUUGAAAUAGGGAACAUUUACUUGAAUAAUGGUAAUUAAAUAGCAUUCUAGGACAACACCCUGACUUGGAUGAUCUUUUAGCACAGAGUGAGAGUGUCAGCUUAAAAUUUACCCAGUGAAAGAUAUGGAUGCUGUAUCAGACUAUAUAGUGUUAGGUAAGUUACUUUAAUUAACUGUUUACACACUCUUCAUUGGAAAGGCAGGGUAGCACUUAGGUUAAAUCUCUUUUAUUGUGUCCUGUUCAAUUGCAGAAAAGUAAUAGUACACCUAAGAAUAUUCUGCUGUAACUGUGUCACAUAGAUUGUUGUUGUUGUAUACUCUUGUCAAAUAAAAACAUAAAGUUGGAAAGGCUGAAAGCAUUUAUUGAUUUCUCAGUUGAGGCAUAAAAGAAGUAGACAACCUUUCUAGACUUAGGGACUUAGAUCUGAGGAAGACGAGGAAGAAAAAAGAGAUAUCUUUGACAUAUAUGACACAAGGACAGUGGUUAUGUUUCUGACAUAACCCAAUAGGCCUGAAUGUUGAAAGUGCUGUCUCUUGCCAUGAAAGGAGAGGUAUAAAUGAGGGGAGAGCUAGGUGCUGCCUGAAGUAUUUGCUGACAAUGUUUUAAUAGAUUGUGUCUCAUAGAUAGGUAUCCUUUUAAACAUUUUCCAAGCAGAUGGAUGAGGCUGCAGACAGCCUAUAAGCAAUGCCUUUGAGGGAUGUUAAGACUGCGUCUUUUUGUUUCAAGGGGAUACAGCUCCAAAGCCUAACAGUAUGAACUUUAAAUAUAACCAUAAUUCACUCUUCCACAGCUGAUUAUUUUGGUGGGAACAUGUGAUGAGUUUGAAAUAGAAGAGUGGGAGACUUUCAACACUGAUUUAGAGUUGAAAGUCAUCCAUUCUGUUGCAGAUUUAAUUUGGUGUUGCUGUUGGUCUUUAAAAAGGCCUUUUAGGGUAGAUGCAAAGCUUUCUCUGAAAAUAAGCUUUUGGGUCUUCUCCUAGCUCUGCAGUUUGGGUUGUCUGCAUCAAAUAGCCAUUAACAUGCUGUUGUAGCACUUUGCUAACAUCUAGUCCUAAAUAAAAUGUCCUAAGUAUGACUAUUAAUAACUGUUUUAUUCCAGAUAUUUUAUUUGGUAGAUUUGUAAUAGCAGUGAUCCUUAGUAUUACCAUGCUUUCUAUAUUUAUGUCAGCUGUUCAGUCCUAGAGAGUGA